rnacentral:rRNA from 1 species
UACGUAGGGACCAAGCGUUGUCCGGAUUUAUUGGGCGUAAAGAGCUCGUAGGCGGCCCUCCACGUCGGAUGUGAAAGCUCAGGGCUCAAUCCUGAGAUGCCAUUCGAUACGGGAAGGCUAGAGGUAGGUAGGGGAAAGUGGAAUUCCUGGUGUAGCGGUGAAAUGCGCAGAUAUCAGGAGGAACACCGGUGGCGAAGGCGGCUUUCUGGGCCUUACCUGACGCUGAGGAGCGAAAGCUGGGGGAGCGAACAGG